CUACGGGGGGCAGCAGUGAGGAAUAUUGCACAAUGGGGGGAACCCUGAUGCAGCAACGCCGCGUGGAGGAUGACGCAUUUCGGUGUGUAAACUCCUUUUAUAUGUCAAGAAAAUGACGGUAGCAUAUGAAUAAGCACCGGCUAACUCCGUGCCAGCAGCCGCGGUAAUACGGAGGGUGCAAGCGUUACUCGGAAUCACUGGGCGUAAAGGACGCGUAGGCGGGUUGGAAAGUCAGGUGUGAAAUCCUACAGCUUAACUGUAGAACUGCACUUGAAACUUCUAAUCUAGAGUAUGGGAGGGGGAGAUGGAAUUAGUGGUGUAGGGGUAAAAUCCGUAGAUAUCACUAGGAAUACCUAAAGCGAAGGCGAUCUCCUGGAACAUUACUGACGCUAAGGCGUGAAAGCGUGGGGAGCAAACAGGAUUAGAUACCCGUGUAGUC
rnacentral:rRNA from 1 species